rnacentral:rRNA from 1 species
AACGAACGCUGGCGGCAUGCCUAACACAUGCAAGUCGAACGAGACCUUCGGGGCUAGUGGCGCACGGGUGCGUAACACGUGGGAAUCUGCCCUUUGCUUCGGAAUAACAGUUAGAAAUGACUGCUAAUACUGGAUGAUGUCUAAAGACCAAAGAUUUAUCGGCAAAGGAUGAGCCCGCGUAGGAUUAGGUAGUUGGUGGGGUAAAGGCCUACCAAGCCGACGAUCCUUAGCUGGUCUGAGAGGAUGAUCAGCCACACUGGGACUGAGACACGGCCCAGACUCCUACGGGAGGCAGCAGUGGGGAAUAUUGGACAAUGGGCGAAAGCCUGAUCCAGCCAUGCCGCGUGAAUGAUGAAGGCCUUAGGGUUGUAAAGCUCUUUUACCAGGGAUGAUAAUGACAGUACCUGGAGAAUAAGCCCCGGCUAACUCCGUG